rnacentral:lncRNA from 1 species
GUGCGAAUGUGAGAAUAUAGUAUAGUGUAGCUUUAGGCUUUUAGGAAUAUAUGGUGGUAUAUAGAUAAAUUUUAAUUUAUUAGAUUUUCUUUUAUGAUUUCGUCUAAAGGAUGCUCUAAAUAAAAAAUCCACACAUGAAAUAAAUUAUGAUUUCUGUUUUAAAAGAUACAAAUAUUUUAUUUUAAAAAGAAAUUAAUAUUUUAUUCUAAGAGAAUAUAUUUCAAAUUAUGU